AGAGUUUGAUCCUGGCUCAGGGUGAACGCUGGCGGCGUGCUUAAGACAUGCAAGUCGAACGGCCUGAUUUCGGUCAGGCAGUGGCGCACGGGUGAGUAACGCGUAACUGACCUACCCCCAAGUCGCGGAUAACGCGCCGAAAGGCACGCUAAUACGUGAUGUGCUGCAUCCUCGUGUGGAUGCAGUAAAGACUUGAUCGUUUGGGGAUGGGGUUGCGUUCCAUCAGCUAGUUGGCGGGGUAAAGGCCCACCAAGGCGACGACGGAUCGCCGGCCUGAGAGGGUGGCCGGCCACAGGGGCACUGAGACACGGGUCCCACUCCUACGGGAGGCAGCAGUUAGGAAUCUUCCACAAUGGGCGCAAGCCUGAUGGAGCGACGCCGCGUGAGGGAUGAAGGUUUUCGGAUCGUAAACCUCUGAAUCUGGGACGAAAGACGCGACAAGCGGGAUGACGGUACCAGAGUAAUAGCACCGGCUAACUCCGUG
rnacentral:rRNA from 1 species